rnacentral:rRNA from 1 species
UGGGGAAUCUUGGACAAUGGGCGCAAGCCUGAUCCAGCAAUGCCGCGUGGGUGAAGAAGGCCUUCGGGUUGUAAAGCCCUUUUGUUUGGGAGCAAAUCCUGCUGGUUAAUACCUGGCGGGGAUGAGAGUACCAAAAGAAUAAGCACCGGCUAACUACGUGCCAGCAGCCGCGGUAAUACGUAGGGUGCAAGCGUUAAUCGGAAUUACUGGGCGUAAAGCGUGCGCAGGUGGUUUGACAAGACCGACGUGAAAGCCCCGGGCUCAACCUGGGAACUGCGUUGGUGACUGUCUGACUAGAGUGUGGCAGAGGGGGGUGGAAUUCCGCGUGUAGCAGUGAAAUGCGUAGAGAUGCGGAGGAACACCGAUGGCGAAGGCAGCCCCCUGGGCUAACACUGACACU